CACGAAGUUAGCCGGGGCUUCUUCUGGUGGUACCGUCAUCAUCGUCCCACCCGAAAGAGCUUUACAACCCUAAGGCCUUCAUCACUCACGCGGCAUUGCUGGAUCAGGCUUGCGCCCAUUGUCCAAUAUUCCCCACCGCUGCCUCCCGUAGGAGUCUGGGCCGUGUCUCAGUCCCAGUGUGGCUGAUCAUCCUCUCAGACCAGCUACCGAUCGAUGGCUUGGUAGGCCUUUACCCCACCAACUACCUAAUCGGACGCGGGCUCAUCCAACAGCAAUAAAUCUUUCCCCCGAAGGGCGUAUGCGGUAUUAGCGACAGUUUCCCGUCGUUAUUCCCCACUGCUGGGUAGAUUCCCACGCGUUACUCACCCGUGCGCCACUAAGGCCGAAGCCUUCGUUCGACUUGCAUGUGUUAGGCAUGCCGCCAGCGUUCGUUCUGAGCCAGGAUCAAACUC
rnacentral:rRNA from 1 species